GAGGGUGGCCAGGACCUGUCUGGUCAUCUUU
rnacentral:sRNA from 1 species